CGGAAAACCAGAAGUUUACGAUUUGUGACAUUUCGCACCGAACAGAAAUUCUGACGGUGGCACCGAACCGAAAUGACAACUUUGAAAUAGUUUAUCACUAUGUUGAUUCACUGCUGACGAUCCACGGUUCCAAACAAUUAUGAAGGAAUAGACACCAAGGACAAAACGAAAUAAACUACUCCGUAGAUCAUGUAGCACGCGAUCCAAUGCUACUGUACUAAUCGGUCCAAGAUCAACGUGUACGAAGUCUGUAAAAGUCCGUGUGUGUGCGCUAUGAGUAUUAUUGACGUGCAUGGAUGCACGGCGGCACCUCGCCCACGUGAAGUUCGAAACCAAAGCCGCCGGCCCACCGGCCGGGUCAACGAACGAACUCUUCGAUCAGCUCUCGUCGGCGGCGGAGUUAAUUGCACAGAACUACCACAACUGGGGUAUCACAUGCAGAUUGGUAUCACAAUUGCUAAUUUUUACGUGUCAGUACAGCAUUGCUUCAGACUUUUGCAAAAAGGUCUAAACCGUGUAUAAACACGUAUUGACAGCGUAUCUGACUGGCGGGGGCCACCUGUCAGGCGCCGACGUGGCAAUUUUUUUACAGAAAACCCCUUUACUUUGCAAAAAGGAUCUCCUUCUUCACACCUUCCGCCUGCCGCCGUUGCUGAUUCGUCGGGACUACGCCGACCUGACAGCCUACUUCGCCGAAGCUGCCGCCGGCGUUCUCAACGACGCCGACAAGGCUCAGUCCGGCAUCUCACGCGACGAGCUCCUCCACAACCUAGUCUUCGGGAAGGAUGCCGACGGGGAGAAGACCGAGGAGAGGGAGCGGAUGGGGAAGCGGAACGGGUCGGAGAGCAUGUGGAACGGCGACCCGCCGUCGCCGGCGCCGAGGUACACGAGCGCGCCGGGGAAGAACGGCUGGAGGCGCAGCGCCUGGCAGUCGAGGAGGCGCUGGCACUCCGGGUACGCGGUGAGGAAGAUCUGGAAGCCCCGGUCGAGCAGGUACCCGUCGACCUCGUCGGUGGCGACGCGGCCGCCGACGCGGUCCGAGGCCUCCAGGAGCGUGAACGGACGGAGAGGGAGGCCACGGCGAGGCCCGCGAGCCCGCCGGGGUGCAGGAAGGCGAGCGCGAGCAGCACGAGGGACGCGCGGCCGCGGAGCCGGAGAAGAGCGCGGCGAGCAGGGCCGUGCCGAGCCAGAAGGC
rnacentral:rRNA from 1 species